rnacentral:rRNA from 1 species
CCUACGGGUGGCAGCAGUGAGGAAUAUUGGUCAAUGGACGAGAGUCUGAACCAGCCAAGUAGCGUGCAGGAUGACUGCCCUAUGGGUUGUAAACUUCUUUUAUAAGGGGAUAAAACGAGGCACGUGUGCCUUUUUGCAUGUACCUUAUGAAUAAGGAUCGGCUAACUCCGUGCCAGCAGCCGCGGUAAUACGGAGGAUCCGAGCGUUAUCCGGAUUUAUUGGGUUUAAAGGGAGCGUAGGUGGGUUGUUAAGUCAGUGGUGAAAUUCUGCGGCUCAACCGUGAAAUUGCAAUUGAUACUGGCAGGCUUGAGUGUAGUUGAGGUAGGCGGAAUUCGUGGUGUAGCGGUGAAAUGCUUAGAUAUCACGAAGAACCCCGAUUGCGAAGGCAGCUUACGAAACUGCUACUGACGUUGAUGCUCGAAAGUGUGGGUAUCAAACAGGAUUAGAUACCCUUGUAGUC